rnacentral:misc_RNA from 1 species
CAAUAAGUGUUCAAUGGCACUUUUAAAAUCCAUUACCCACCUUGUGUGCAAUGUAAGGAGGAGGGGGGGGUGUCAGACUUUUGUCUGCCUCCCUCUUUCAUUAUAUAUAUACCAAUUCUUCUCUUGUUGUCUACUUUUUGAGUAUAAAAAACUCGAAUA